CGGCUCACCAAGGCGAUGAUGGGUAGCUGGCCUGAGAGGGUGGCCAGCCACACUGGGAUUGAGAUACUGCCCAGACUCCUAAGGGAGGCAGCAGUCGAGAGGCAUCUGCAAUGGGCGAAAGCCCGACAGUGCGACGCCGCGUGGACGAAAGGCCUUCGGGUUGUAAAGUCCUGUCACAGGGGGGAGAACAACACCCAUCCGAAUAAGAUGGGUGUCUGACGUUGCCCCUGGAGAAAGACCCGGCUAACUCCGUGCCAGCAGCCGCGGUAAUACGGGGGGGUCGAGCGUUAUUCGGAAUCACUGGGCGUAAAGGGAGCGUAGGCGGGAUCGUGGGUCAGCCGUGAAAUCCACCGGCUCAACCGGUGAACUGCGGUUGAAACUACGAUUCUUGAGUUCGGUAGAGGAAUGCGGAAUUCCUGGUGUAGCGGUGGAAUGCGUAGAUAUCAGGAAGAACACCGGUAGCGAAGGCGGCAUUCUGGGCCGUAUCUGACGCUGAGGCUCGAAAGCCGGGGGAGCGAACAGGAUUAGAUACCCUGGUAGUCCCGGCCGUAAACGAUGGGUACUAGGUGUAGGGGGUACUGACCCCCUCUGUGCCGCAGUUAACGCAUUAAGUACCCCGCCUGGGGAGUACGCGCGCAAGCGUGAAACUCAAAGGAAUUGACGGGGCCCCGCACAAGCGGUGGAGCAUGUGGAUCAAUUCGACGCAACGCGAAGAACCUUACCGGGGUUUGACAUGUACCGGACCGGCAUGGAAACAUGCCUUCCCUUCGGGGCUGGUACACAGGUGCUGCAUGGCUGUCGUCAGCUCGUGUCGUGAGAUGUUGGGUUAAGUCCCGCAACGAGCGCAACCCUCGUCGCCUGUUGCCAUCGGGUUAAGCUGGGCACUCUGGCGAGACUGCCCGCGAUAUGCGGGAGGAAGGCGGGGAUGACGUCAAGUCCUCAUGGUCCUUACAUCCCGGGCUUCACACGUGCUACAAUGGCCGGUACAAAGGGUUGCAAUACCGCGAGGUGGAGCCAAUCCCAAAAAGCCGGUCUCAGUUCGGAUUGGAGUCUGCAACUCGACUCCAUGAAGUCGGAAUCGCUAGUAAUCGUGGAUCAGCAUGCCACGGUGAAUACGUUCCCGGGGCUUGUACACACCGCCCGUCAAGCCACGAAAGCUGAUAGUACCCGAAGUCGCUGAGCUGACCCGCAAGGGGGGCAGGCGCCGAAGGUAAGAUUAGCGAUUGGGGCUAAGUCU
rnacentral:rRNA from 1 species